rnacentral:rRNA from 2 species
UACGUAGGGUGCAAGCGUUAAUCGGAAUUAUUGGGCGUAAAGGGUGCGCAGGCGGUUAUAUAAGUCAGAUGUGAAAUCCCUGGGCUUAACCUAGGAAUUGCGUUUGAAACUAUAUAACUAGAGUGUGACAGAGGGGAGUGGAAUUCCAUGUGUAGCAGUGAAAUGCGUAGAGAUGUGGAAGAACACCGAUGGCGAAGGCAGCUCCCUGGGUUAACACUGACGCUCAGGCACGAAAGCGUGGGGAGCAAACAGG